rnacentral:misc_RNA from 1 species
AGUCAUCAAACCCUCCUGUUUCUUGCGAAAUGGGUUGGGGUUGGAUUGUGGGGGCUCUGCUGCUGUGAAGGUGGCUCCCCUCAAAUGCAUCGGUUGGGCCUGUGGGCCAAACUCGACUGGGCGUUGUACCAUCCUCGCUCGACAGAGUGCGUCCCCCUUCUGUGCCCUUCCCCGACCUGCCUCUUGGAGUGGCGGUCAAAAGCACACUUUGAAAU